rnacentral:lncRNA from 1 species
ACAAGCCUUGCGGAAACCAGUAAAACCAGCGCCCUUAGCCAAAGCCUCAAAUUCCUUCUCAGUCCUUUCUUUGCCUCCUGGGUUAUGUGCUAACAUCACAAUAUCAACAUGUACUGUAUUCUUAGUUGCAAGUGAUGUAUCUGGGGCCUCUGGAAGUAUGCACUCUGCAAUUAUCACCUUCCCAUUUGCAGGUAGUGCUUCAUAGCAAUUCUUCAAGAAUUUUAGGCAAUGCUCAUCGCUCCAAUCAUGACAAAUCCACUGCACCAAUAUAUUACGUUAUCCUCUGAAUUACAUCUUCGAUUUAAAAUAAUAAUAAUAAAAGCAAGAAGAUAAGCGAGUUUAACUUUUAUAUACUGACUUUAUAAUCAGGGAGCGGAUCUACAAGUGACUAUUCAUAAUAGGUGGUGGCAUUAAUUAAUAACAGUAAAUUUUAUGGGUAGUCAUUCAGCUUUAGGUUCAUUACCCAAAAGUUACUUUGUUUUGUUACGUAAAGUCGUUCAACUUUGUGAUCAUUACUUAAAAGUUACUUUUCCUUUCUUUUGUUACACAAAAAUCAUUUCAUUAUACUCUAAUUAUAUUUGUUUAAGAUAGUAUAAAAAUCUUUACAAUGUAAGUGUUUAUGAGUUAGAAUAACUCCUUAGGAGAAAGGGACACGUAACUUCGGGAGGAUGGGUGCUCUCCCAUCUUUUGAUUAAGAAAGCACCAAUGCAAUAUUUGUUGGUGUGGGGUUGGGUAGUUAGUCAUUACCUUCAUGAAAAUGGCAUCUGCUUUUGGCACACUAGCAAACAUGUCGCCACCAACGUGCUCGACACCUAAUUAAAAGUUACGAAAGUGAUUGAUGAGCAAUACAAACUAGAACAAAAACAUUAAUGCCAUUAAUAAUCAAAUGUAGCUGAAGGGGGAGAAUGGAUUUUAGCUUAAUUACCGGGGUAAGUUGGAGCAUCUCCAAUUACAUGUGGCAAAUCAAAGUUAAUGCCCUUAAUAGAGGGAUAUUUAGAGACAAUCAUGUUAACUGUAGCACCCGUUCCACCACCAACAUCAACAAUGGAAUUUAGGCCUUCAAAUCCUUUGUAGUCCUCAAGAAUCUUCUUCAUUGACAUAGUGGAGUGAUCAGACAUUCCACGGUUGAACACUUUGUUGAAUCUUGGAUCUGUGCCAUGGUACUCAAAUGCUGUCAUUCCAU